AAACCUUGAAACUGAUGUUACGAAGAACAUACUAAAGUCGGUACAAGGAACGAGGACAGAAAAAUCCUAGAAAGAGGGUUUGAUAACGGUUGGUAGACACCAACACUAAUGAUGACAAACUCUCCUUAGCUUCAAAUAAAGUUUAUGUAUCUGAUAGGUGUGGAGGAUGAGCUUGUACCGAGAUCUCAAAGGACCUUUGUCGAAGAUGAAAGCUAUUAGGUGGUAGGAAAAUGUGAGUGAUUCCAGAACAGUAGGUAAUAGCUGUAGAAAAAUGUCUCAUUUGCUUAAAUUUGACUGUGGUAUUCAUGAGCAAUAGAGCAUAGACUAUCAAAUCUCUACCGACCCGUGAAGGCAGAAGAAAUAGUGGAUCAAAACUAAGCACAACAUCACGGCUUUGGACUAGGUGAAUCCUGUAGACUUAAUCUAGAUGAUAGAUUGUAGACCAACAAGAUGCUUCAAAGAAGGAUCGAUGACCCGAGUUCAUAAUCAUUCAGCAAAGAUAAAAUCUUAUUAUGCCAUGAUUUUUGAGUGGCCUUUGGUAGAAGACAUUGCAAAUCCAUAAAUGGGCCAGACCCAACCUAAAGCAUUGGUUGGGGAGUCCAUAAUCUGUGUUGGAAUGGUGGGGCUCAGCGAUGUGACGCGACGGAAGAGUAAAGCUGACAGUGGAGUAGUAACAGCUGUUGGAAGGGGAGAGAGCAUAUAUAUAGAGGGAAGACGUCGGAGGGCCGUGCCGACGCAGCGGAGAGACGAUCUCUUGUCCAGAAAUAACUCGAAAUGAAGGCGACGAUAUAGACGCCAAUAGAUCUUGCCACUGAAGCAUCGAAUCGAGGAGGUGAGGAGGAGCAGAUCCUGUGAGUCUGUCCUCGACCUGAGCAGCUACAGUGUUUGUGCACAUAUCGAGAGGGAUCACGGCAAUGAAAGGCUGAGUAGAGGAAGCAAAAAUUAAAGGGUGAGCAAAAGAGGCGGCGGCGGAGGGGUGAGCGAAGAAGGCGGCGACUGAAGGAUGAGCAGUAGAGCUGGCGAUGAAAGCUCUACUUUGGGACAUGGUGAAACAGACGAGAUAAAGGUGAGCCGAAGAGCGGACGAUGGAAACAGAACUUGGCAGUGAACGAGCUAUCUCCAACGGAGAAGUAACCGGAGACCAAGAAGGUGGCAUCAUGAGUAACCAGAAGACAUAGAGGACUAAGAGAGGAGAGGAGCGGUGGUGACGCCAGCAAGCUACUUUGCCGGCGUCAAAAGGCAUUGCUAGGAAACAGCGCUUCGAAGUGUAGGUCAGAGAGCAAAUUUUAAUUAGGGCGAACUCCACACUUGUACAUCAUUAAAAUCAAAAAUAUCAUGACUUUUUUCCUUAAAAUCUAUAAUGCCUGCAUUAUCCAGACCUGGCUCAAUUUUCAAUGUUUUUUUAUCUUUGAAAAUUGAGACGUUAUAUAUGUGUUCUAAGAAUAUGCUGUAGAGACAUACUAUUAAAAUUAAAAAAAAAAAUUACAAAGCAAGCUUGGCGAAUGUGGAGUAAGCCAGAAUCUCUGUUGGCCAUAAUAUUAAAGAGCAGAUAUUUCCAAAAUACAAGCUUUCUAUCAUGUGGUAUGGGAACUAGGCCGUCGUACGCUUGGCAACGCUUAAUGCACGGUAGAGAACUCCUAAAGCAGAGACUUGUGACAUCGAUUGGACCAGUAACAAAGACGAGUGUUUGCUCUGAUAACUGGAUCCUUGACACUAUACCAAGACCCAUAUGUAACGUCAAGAUAGGUUUGUUGAUGUGAUUGUUAAGGUUUCUAAUUUAAUGCAUAACAAGACAAGGAGAUGAAAUUAAUUACGAGCGAAAGAUGCCUUUACUGAGGAAAAUGCAGUUAAAAUUUUCAGCAUUAAGCCAUCCUCGUUUGGGGUUUUACCAAACAUGGAUAUACAUCCCAGAGUGGUUGUCGUUUUUUAGAUAUAUUACAAAACUAUCAUCACCCCCAGCUGUAACCACUCAACCCAUAGAGAAACAGCUGUGAGAGCGAUCUGGAAGACCAAAUGUCCCGCAAAAUUGAAGCACUUCCUUUGGAAGGCGUUGUCAUGAGCUUUAGCAAUUAAAGAGCGUUUAAGGUCUAGGUUCAUCCCAGUAGACCCAGCUUGUGUUGCUUGUGGAGCUAACUCUGAAAGCAUAUGUCAUGUUUUGUUUCAGUGUGCCACGACAGUCGAGACGUGGUCGUCGUCAUGAAUUCCUUUUCCAGCAAAUGGUUUCUCGCCAGGGUUUGUUUUCUUGAACUUGUUCCACCUUGUAGUUAUCAAUACAAGAAAGAGGAUGCCACUCUCUUGAGAACGUUUUCCUGGAUUUUAUGGUACCUUUGGAAGACCCAAAAUGCACUAGUCUUUGAGCAAAUGAGAUAUGAAUCUGCAUCAGCUCUAGUUCGUGCAAAGGAGGAUUUAGACAUGUGGUUGUCAAUAAACUGCUCUGAUACAUAGUCUGUUACUUUGACAGGUCCUAAUGUAGGGUCAACAUUGGGCUGAAAGUGCCCUCCUCAUAAUGCUAUUAAAUGUAAUUUAGGUGCCUCGUGGAUAAAUAGCUCACAGACAAGUGGAGCUUCAUUGAUCCUACAUCAAUCCAACGGAUCGGUAAUGCUGCAUAGCCACAGAUCCUACUCUGCGAUCUCAUCUCUAUGAGAAGUAGAACACUGGUUUAUAUACUAGGCAGUAGAUAGCAUGAGAAGCACAAGACAGAGGAACAUCAUCUUUAAACCGUCUUUCGCCCUUGCUAGAGAGAUUUUUCUCAACCCGAAUGGUUUUCCAGAGUUGGACGAACUAACACAAGCUAUCUUACAAUUGCUGAAUGAUCUGGAGGCUUGGAAUUUUUCUCACGCAAAUAUGUCAAAGAAUAUGCAUGCAACUCGCAUUGCAGAAAGUACCACGAAAGACAACCAAACCCAAAUCCUAUAUAGCCCGUGGGUCGUUAAUGGUCAAAUCAUGUGCUUACUGAAAAAAGGAGACAUGGUCAAUAACCAGCUCUGGUUUUUUUCCGCAUUUUACUAUUUGUUGUCCUCUGUUAUGAUGCCUAUUGGUAUCGGACUUUUACUUUUUAUCUUUCUUUUCAUGUUGUUUUUUCUCUUUUUUGUACUUUAUACUCUGGUUUUGGUGUGGCGUGUCAUAGGCACCCCACCAUUUGAUUAUGAUGAAUAUUUCAGUGUUAAAAAAAAGACUAUCUAAACGGUUUAGGCGCUAAAUGUGCAUGAACCAUGGCGAUUCGUCAAUAAUGGUUUAUUUUGAUGAAUUUUAGCUACAUAUAAUAACUAAAUGUUGUUUGUUUUUUUUUUGAGCAAAAAAUGUUUGUUGAGCGAAUGUUUUUGUGUUGUCUUUUUUUUUUUUCAAAUGAAUGUAUUGGUCUAAUUUAACCUCAAAUUUACACAAUGGACAAAAUCAGUAUAACUGUGGGGGAAUGCGUAAACGUAAUAAAGGGUCUUCAGUUACAACAAAAUUUUGUUUAAGAACAUUGCUAAUUCAUUUUUAUUUACUCGUCUGUAAUAGAUAUAUCUAUCAUUUUCUCUAUUUUUAGUAGAAAAAUAAUUAUUAUAUUUUACACUAUUUAAAUGAAGGCUAUUUUGAAAAAUACAUUCGAAUAAACUUUAUUUUUAUUAGAGACUCUUCCUUUUAAAAAAUAUGCAAAAUACAUUGAAAAUAAUCUAAUAAAUUUGACAUGAUUCUAGACAUUCUCUUCGCCCGGUUAUUAACCAGUGCCAAGGGAUUUUAUCCAAAUGGUUCAGAUUUUCUUAAGCAUUUUUAAUUCCCACUUCAAAGUUCCUUCCUGGGUUUUAAAUGCUUUGAGCUAAAUGUAAUUCCAUGAUUAACUAGCUCUUGUAAACAUACUUCAUGUUCCUUUUUGAUAUAUUUCCAUAUUUAUAGAACAAAAAAAAACAGAUAAACAAGAAUGACAAAAACAAUAUGAAAAUGAGUUUUUCUAGAGAUACUUCCUUCAUUCAAAAUCGCUCUGUGGUACGACCAUUCAGUCCCACAAUACAACUGUAUCAUCUUAUGAUUCGCAUGCAGAAUCCAAAAUCAAAAGCAUGACGAACCAGUGACAAUUCACACUCCAAAAGCAAUACAAUUGUGUCAUCUUAAUGUCUCAGUGGUCCUGUCCAAUAUGUUUUCCUUGAAUCUUAAUCUCAAAUCUUAUCAAACUGACAAAAUUAAACAUGUCUCUCAAACCAUAUUAUUUCUUCACUUGGCUUGUAUUGCCCACUUUUACAUCCCAUGUGUAUAUAACAUUAAUUCUCCCCAAAUCAACUUUGUUUUCCAAAUCCGAACAAAGCAAAUGUCCAUGUCAAUAAAUAAACUCUUCACAGAAGCCCCUCCUAAGUAAAAACAAAACAUCACAAGACCCACGUGGGGAAGAACAAACAAACCAAGCCAACUAAUAAAUUAUAAGAGAGACCAGUUUAUAUACAUCCGCAAGGCAACUGCCAUCAGGAAACUCCCAAAUCAACAACAGCUAGCUAAAGCAACCCUACUUUCACAUUUCCUUUGUCACGCCUUUAUAUAUCACAAAACUCACAAGAGGGAUAAAUACAGAACAAGAUUGCUUUGAAAUAUCAACAAACUUUGAUAACAAUGGCCUUAGUUAUACCGAUUAUUUUUAUCGUGGUUGCUGGCUCCCUCUGUGAGGUUGCCUUCAAGCAGGCAGUCAGCAAAAAAUUUCAACCACCGGUGCAAAAGAUUGGACACGACAUACUGUAAAACAGCACAAUUGAACUUAAAGUGAAUAAGCACAGUAAUUUCACGCUGAUGUGACUGCUCAAAUAAGAAAAGACCGACUUGGUUUCAACAUCUGCAAGCAAGUUACGAGCUUUCUGGUUUACAGGAAGUUGAAGCUGCUCCUGUCCGAUUAAAUCGAUCUAAGAGGAGCCUACCAUCUCAGGCAGUUUUGUUUUCUUGCCUCCAAAAUGAUUAUACAAGUGUAGCACGGGAACAUUUGUGACAUCCUGCCACAACAGCACUGAGUUACCAAUUCCUGGGUGGUUCAAUUAAGGAAACCAUGAUUAUGAUUUGGUUUUCAACUUUCAAGCUAAUGAAGCCUCUGCUAAUAAGACUUAAGUGUGGUUCACAGUUGAAAGGAUGUAACAUAAAAGAUAAAUGUAUCUGCUUGUAUUUUAGCGUGGCCAGCUUCCCAUCCUUCAGAAAAAGGUUAGAUGCCAAAAAUGAUUAGGAGAGAUACUAAAAGGAAUGAAAAUGCUCAAAAUGAGAAUUCUGAUUCCUAAUCUGAUCCCAAAGAAGCUCACAUACCACUAGAAACUCCAUUCAUCGGAAUCAUCAAAAUCUUCCUCAGAACUCUCCAUACACUUCACUUCACCAGAGACUAUCCAGAGAACUAUAAAUUCAAAUUAAGGAGAUCAAAAUCACAAUCACGCUUAGUAGUCACGGAAAAGGUAAACAGUGAGACGAAACGAGAGAAGAGAGAAAGCGAGUGAGAUACCUCUGCUCCGGAUGAGCCAAUUUCGGCAUGCAUCACCACAGCUCCGACUGUUUACACACCGUCGCCGGUUUGUCGAGGUUUUAGACUGCAAUCAAAUUUAAAUUUUUUUUUCUUGGAAAUUAAAUAAAAUUUUAUAAAGUUCAUAAAUAGAUCUUAAGCACAAUUUUAAAAUUUGUAACUAAAUUUUAAGAAAUAAAAAAUAGAAAAUUAUGCUAAGUUUUAAUUUUCAGUUACAAGAAAAUGAAGGUAAAUUAUAGAAAUUAAAUUGGUAUAUUUCUCAAAUGGAAAUAAAUGACACUUUGAAACAUACGUUUGUCUUUCCACACAUUUUUUUUUUUUUGAUAACCAUAGUGUGAUCCAAAAUCUUUCUAGGCACAAAGACUAAUCACUACGAAGUCCGCAGGAUCCGCGUUUUCUUACCACUUAAAACGUUCCGGAUGGCCAAGAGAAAUCGAACUCAGGGCGGUAUUCACAGCUGUGAGCCCUUUACCACUUUUCCACACAUAUUUGACUUAUUCCAAAUUAUGAAUAUAAAAAAUUUGAUUUAAUCUAAUAUAUUAAAAUAAUAUUUAAAUAGUCAAAAUUUUAAAAAGAUAGAAAAAGGAGAUUAAAUUUCCAUAUAAUACAUUACUAAUACACAAUGAAAACUUUUUUUUUAAGUACAGAUUUUAUAAUAAAUGUUUUACUAUGUUUAGACUAUAUAUCGUGUUAUAUACGAAGCCAAGAAUAAAUAUUUUACUAUUUGGUUGAUGUUCUCAAAGUUUAAAAUAUACUCCCACAUUGUAAUCUUUUGUUUUAUGUUUUAUAAAAUUUAGUUACAUUCUAAUAUUUAUUUGAGUCAAUUGGCUAAAAAACCAAAAGAAAGGAUAAAAUUAACAAUCUGCCUUAAAAGCACCGUUGUGGACCACGUGUUGGAUCAGAGCUGGAUCAGAGCAAAUCAGAUUUGGAGCAUGUGCAUGUGCAGUGUAUAAUAGUGAUUUUUGGUACAUAGCUAAUUUUGCAUAAAUGCGUAUGUUGGGAAUAUAAAUACCCUAUUUAUUUUAUAUUUCAUAAAACUUAGAAUAGAAAUAUAUUAUUUUGUUAUUUUUAAUGAAAUUUAGACUUUAUUUUCAAAUCACCUGAACUUGGUUUGGUUCGGUUUGAUUAUUCCAGGUGUUAUUUCAUCCACUUUCAGUUAUGGGUUAUGUGUAUAUAUACUAACUAUAUAUGUAGUUAAGAAAGUGUUGAAUACUAAAUGUAAAAAGAAAAGGAAGUAUAUAUAGUAAGUAUAUGUUAAACAACACCAUUUGAAAUAUGAAAUCCAUGAAAACAUUUGAAACUCUAAGAGAAUUUGGUAGUUUAAAGAAACUAUAAAACCUUUUCUUAAAAAAAAAACUAUAAAACCUUUGCAACGUCCACCCUAGGAAGGCCAUAAUGGCACCAAGAGUCCCCCCAAACACUUCAGUGUUACAUACAAAACUGACCAAACGUUUAAGAAAAUAAAUGUGGCUUUUGAGUAUUAACAAUGACUAAAAAAAAGAGAGUAUUAACAAUGAAGCGUUAAAGCCUUAAAGGGAACUCAUGGGGACAUUUGACUCUCUUUUUCUAGCUCUUUCCCUGAUAAACAACACUAGCUAGUAGCUGCAUGCCUUAUUUAUAUAUCUGUGCAAAGGGUUUCCAAUUCUUCCUUUUAAUUUUCCAAUAAGAAUUUUCAUAUUGGGACCAAUAAUCAUAUAUUCGAAUCAUACAAUUAAAGAACGUGCGAAAAUUUUGAUUAUGUGAAAGAUGAAUGAUGAAUGAUGAAUCGAGUCGAAAUAUUGGGCCUUGUUAAAUAAUUGACCGAAUAUUUUAUUUUGGCCUUCCAUUUGCUUGAAAUUUUUUGAACGACAUAAGUAUUCCUUGCAUGGACUCUUCCUCUGAGAUGUCUUUCUCCUUCUUUUUUAUUGACAUCCCCUUCGUCAAAUUGCUGCCCUGAACGAUUAUUCUCCAUUUAAUCUCUCAUGCAAAUUGCAUGCGUCUAAACAAUAUAGAGUGUGAGAUUGUUUACAUUUCCAGAUUGCAGUGUUAAAAUGAAUAUUGUAUUUUUUUACAACAAACGACUAUUCUAUUACUCAAAUUUGAAGUGGUUUUGAUAACCAAACCGGAAUAGAACAAUCAAUGUAAUAAAGCUCUUUAUAAAAAGGACUAUAAAAAAGUUGUGCAUACCUAGCUAAAAAAAUCAUCAAUUCCAUUUUGGGCCUUUGAAAUGUAAAAAAUCUUGAAGUUCGAAAAACAUAUCUUGAGAGUAUGUAUCGUCUCCAAUUAUGUUGCAAAACUUUGCCUAGUUUGGAGUUUCUUUAUCAUUGCUAUCAAGUCUUUGCAAUCAAUCCCAAAAUUUUGACAUGUUGAAUGUUGGAGCAUGCUUUCCAAUUCCAUAAUCUUUCUCAGUGCCUCUAAUUCUAUAUGCAAAUGAUUUUCGUUAUGCUAGAAUAUUGAGUUUAUAUCCAAAAGAAGUAUCAAACUAUCUCUCUCCUCGAACCUCCAACUUCUUUCUUAUCUUCAAAUCAGCGACGAUUUCUAGCUCCGGUAGCCACCUUCUGCACAUGUGGUAAUCAGAAACUUUCUCCUCUUUGUUAUUUGCUCCGUUUUGUCGUCUUCCGUCCUGCCAUUGAUAUGCUUGGUGUUAUGGUUGGAGCUCCGCUGAAGGUUCGUCCAGAUCUGCUAUGGGGAUGUAGAUAUCCGAGGUCUGGGGCUCUGCUCUGGAUUACCAGUGAAGCGGUGGGGGUUGUGGUGGAUCAUAUAGGAAAUGUAAAUGGUAGUAUGCAUUUCGUUAUACUGAGUUUUUGUGCAUUUGAAACAAAGGGACUAAUGGUAGUAAGAAAUUUUAUUUGUAUUUACAAUGUAAACAUAAAAAUUGAUAAAUCACUAUUUGUAUUAAAUAUACAUAAGCUUUUUGUAUUCCCAUCUAUCCUAUACUAAAAGGGACUAAUAAAACCCUGUGAGCGUAUCCACGUCUGAUUGAAAAAUCAGCCAAUAAAGAGAUGCCAGCUCAUUGUUAGUAUACACGUAGAUUUAUCGCUUUUUCAGAAAAAAAAACAAUUGAUGAUAUCUCUUCUCGUAAACGUACCGACGCUUCUCCUUUCUCCUUCUCCACUAACUUUCUCGCUCUUCCAAAUCUCCUAUAUUCCCCUCCCUACUCACUAUAUAUCUCACAAGGUUUUACUCCGUCAAGCAUCAUGUGCAAACACACCGGCGAAAUCAUUCACUACCGUCAAGGAAAAAAUUCACAAAAUUCAGUGUCAUAGCCUUCGGAUCCCGUAUUACAUUCAAAUCACAUGUUUCUCCAUUUAUAAAAUGGUAUUCCUUGCUCCCCUCCAAACCAUCUUAUAUGUCUCUCGAACCAGACUAUCUUCAUCUUGAAAAUUUGCUCAAGGCGGAGAAAAGAAGAUAGAACGGAUGAGAGAUGACAUUCGUUGUUGAAGCUCAAUUACGAUGCGUUAUAGAAGCACGGUCUAAAAAUCUUCUAUGACGGUUGACUUUAUCUCCGGAGAUAACUCGAUGGGCUCUGGUGUUACGACUUCGUUGAGAGACGGUGGAGUCAGCGAGCGUCAAUGCUUGUGCCUCAGUCUAUGUUCUCUUGCUGCGUUCUCGACGGAGAUCCAGCUCUAUCAGGAUUGAUGAGCGUCAUUGUCGCUGGAGGAUUCACUACUUCUCGGAGAUCCAUCUCUAUCAGGCGGAAGCUGCAUCUAUAUAUAGACCAGGUGUUGUAAGGAGACUGUUGUGACACGGCUUCUACGGCUUUGGGCAGCUAGAACUGUGAAGAAAGGUGGGGGAGCUUAUGGGUGUGGGCUUGGUGAUGCAAAGAGAUUGAUUGCUCGGAGAUUUAUUGACACCUCUGUCCAAAGUGACAUGAAGCUAUGGCCUUUCAAGAUCUUACCUGCUCCUGCCGAUAAACCAAUGAUCGUCGUCAACUACAGAGGCGAAUAGAAACAGUUCGCCGCCGAGGAGAUCUCUUCCAUGGUUCUCAUCAAUAUACGUGAGCUCUAUUGAGAAUUACGAAUGCGGUGCGGAGCCACUUAUUCAGCUAUACAAGAUUCUACUGAAGGCACCUGGUGUAUAUGGAGCACGGUUCAGUGGUGCAGGCUUCAGGGGAUGCUGUGUAGCCUUUGUGGAUGCAUAGAAAGCUGAGGAAGCUACUUCAUAUGUGAAGGAUCAAUACGAAAAGGCCCAACCCGAGUUUGCGAAGAAACUGAGUGGAGGUAAACCUGUUCUCAUCUGUGAAGCAGGUGACUCUGCUCGCGUUCUCUGUUCAAACUCGAAGUUUUUUUCCCUCGAGUGCUCUGUUAUAGUUGUUGAUUCUUAUUUGUUCAUCCUCUUUUUUUAUUCUCUCUCUGUGAGAUUCUCUGGUCGGUUUAGUCAAGAGAUAGAAAUGGAGCAUGCAUUGAUACGUUUUUAUUGUUACCAACAAUUUGACAAUACGUAAUGUAAAUCAUUUAUCUUUCUGUUUUGUUUUGUGUUUCUUCAAGUUCUGAAAUUGAAAGAUCUUAUAGGCAUCUCUUCCUAUCUUCAUUUUCCCAUGGUACUACGAGAAGAGAAUACCAUGUUGUAAUCGGCUAUUAACAGUAAUGUCAUGUUACACCUUUUUUGGUUUAUUCAUAAGAUUAUGCAAACAAAAGAUGCUACUUGAAUGGUUGAAACAAAUUAUUAUUCUGUAAUACCCCAUUAUUCUUUGUAACAUAAAAUCUAAGGCAAACCAUAAGUGCCACCUACUAUUGGUUUGUUUUAAACCGGAUCAGUAGAACAUUUUUACAAGUGGUACAAAGAAACACCAUAAUCACAGGAGAAACUACUCCGACUGUUUUUUUUUUCUAAUAAUGUUAGUAUCAUAAAAUGAAUAAUGAACAAGUUGAUACGAUGGUUCCUAAAUACCCAAUUUUUUUUUUAACUUAGGAACAGGAUUAGCUUUAGAAAGUGUCUUGAGAAAAAAAAGUGGCUUGAGCAACCAAUUCUAAAACAAAUAAAACAAGUUUAUUAGGACAGCUAGAUAGAAUAGGUGGGUCAACGUCAAAUUAGCAAUAAACGACUAGAGGGAGGUUCACACAAAGCUCAGUAGGCGGAGGCGGUAUGUUUCAACUGCUCAAGUCUCCUAAAAUAUAGGCUUCUGUCCUAAUAGUAUGGUAAAUUAAAUGCAGUCUUUUAAUUGAUUUCCACAUCUCAUAUUCUGAAGUUGAUGCCUGUUAUGAUCUUACAUACUUCGAGUCUCUUUAAUAUAUUUAUUGGCUUUUGAUUACGGUCCUUAUUGUUGAUGAUCAUGGAUAUCUCCACGCUUGAGAAGAUUCUUCAGGUAAAAAAAAACAAAGUCGCAGCAAACCCGUAGCUCUUAGUGACCACGUUUCUAUUACGCGAGACGAAGGCAUGAUCACCGUUAACGUCACCACCGCUUCCAACUUCUCCACACGAGAGAAAGUACAAUCUCCUUGAUUGGCUUUGCGUGAUUGCGUUGAACAAAGACAUGGACCGGUACGACCUAAGAUACUUAAACAUGUACAAGCUAAAUAUUAAACCUAUAUAAUGAGUUUUCUUUCGUAGUUUUCUUCCAGGGCUCAGUAAUAGGUGCUUACUUCAACAGUGUUGUAGUUUGACAGCAGAAGCUUUCAGAGCUUUGAGGGCAGUAUUUGACGGCUCAACUAAAAGAUGAUGACGUUCCCUUUUGUGUUCGUGGCUGAAAAUUUUCUUGCUUUUGUAUAUUUGGUGUAUGCAUGUAACUUCAAAUGUCUAUGUACUCCAUUUUUGUGUAAGUGGUGCAUGGAUACACGUCUAUGUAUGUGCUCCAUUUAGCUUAUAUAUCUACAUUGAUUCAAGUUUAUGAAGAAAAUUUGAAUUUGGAUGCUUGAUCGCUAAUCACACAAACUGAAAUACAACUAAAAUUAUAAUUAUCGAGCCUUGAAGAGCUUCCUUAAAACUUCCAAGCAGAUCAUCUCGAGAGUGUCACAAUCAUCAAGAACCACCACCUAUCAUGUCAUACAAUCCCCAUUACUAGCCAAAGCUGCUAAACACAUCUACAUUUACAAAGAAUAUGACCAUCGAAGCAAUAACUAUCCAUCCACUUGCAUUGCAUCUCUAACAAGGUAUAGUGAUCUAAUAACAAAAUGUUUAUUAGUGGGAAGAUAUAUGGAGCAACAUGGAAAGUUUUUAUAACUUCCAUGAGGCUAUAACAUUAAACUUUUAUAAGAAGUAAAUUAUUUGAUAUAAUCGGUUAUGCAACUCAAGUAAAUUUCUGAUAUAAAUAUAAUACUUUAUUAAUUUAUAACACUAUUAAUCUAUUAAAAUAUUUUCAAAUAGCAUGAGCAAAAUUUCCAACAAAUAAUUGUUAUAAAACAAAAAGUUCAAUAAUUGCUGAAAUAAUUUACAUAACAUAAUUAGUAAAAAAUUAAAGGUGAAUGAAAUUCCAUUAUAAAUUGAAAAUCUAAUAUAAACUGAAACAAAUAUAUAUAUUAUAAAACAUUUUUAAUAAUAUAUAUUAAUUAUUAUUUAUGAAAUUAUAAAUAUGCAUAUAUAACUUUAAAAUAUAACUUUAUAUAAUUUUAAAACAUUAUAUUAUUUCAAUUUAUUUAGUUCAAAGGUGGAUUAAUUUAUUAUCGUGAGAAAAAUAAAUAUUGUAAUAAAAUUAAAAUUUGAUGCUCUAAAAAAUAAAAAAGUAAUAGUUGUUCUUACUUUAGAUUUUCUUCAACUAUAUCAAAAUGAAAUGUAAAUCAAAAGGAAAAACAGAAAUUAAUACAUUUUCCUUAAUUUUUAAUUCAAUAAUUUUAUUUUUUCUAACAGAAAAAUGUUAAUGAUCCUUUCAACUCAAAUCAACAAAAUUUACUAAAAUUUAUAAAAUGAUAAUAGGAAAAACAGUUUGUGUUUAUUAUUCCAAUUUAAAGUAAAUUUUCAAAUGUUUUAUAAAAUUAUAAUAUAUUUUAAUAUAAUAUAAUUUUAAUGUAAAUAUACCCGCCCGUAGGGCGGUCCAAUCCCUAGUUAAAACUAAUGUUUGUGUUUUAAGAAAAGUUAAAACACCAAAGUUAUAUAGAAAUUAAAAGACCAUAGCUCACUAGUCAUUAUGGAUUAGUUCUGAAUAUAAAUCUGUAAAUGUGAACCUUUACAAAUAUCUUGAAUAUAUGUAUUAUGCUCUUCCGUCAUGCACAUAAUUCUGUUAAUCGUAUCUGACAUCAUCUAUUUGACUUUCGACUUUUCAAUGCGAUAUAUUUGGUACAUACCACGCGAUGCGCCACAUAUGUAGCUAGUUAAGUAGGUAUACAAAUAUUAAUCGAUCUAGCUUUUCAUCAUUUCAUAACCAGCGCGGACAUCAUGGAUUUGUUGUAGGAAUUUAUAUCAUCAUCAGUAACCCUUUCUCCAAAUUUACAAUAUAACAAAUCAAAUGUUGAAGAGUAGGAGAAUGUAGUGAGGACAAGCAAGACCAGUAUGGGCACUAUAAGCAUAUAAUGUAUAAACCAGAAUCUUUACGUGUAUGCAUCCUUUCUAUCUUGUGAAAAGCCGUAAAGACCUUUUUUUUCAAAAUGCUUAUUCGCUUUACUCUUUCCUUUAACCCCAAUUUGCGUCUAUAUUCAAUAUGCUUUUCUUGGCCAUCAUCUAUUUUUUUUUUCUCUUUAUCUCUUUCUCAUUGAAGCUUGCAAUUUAUCCCCAUCGCCUUUAACUAUAUAUUGAAAUGUAACUACAUCCAUCUUCUAAACUUCAAUUAUAUCAAUCUCUUGUAUUCAUAUUGCUACCCAUAUCUACAUGCAAUGCAAAUGUUUAUAUAUAAAACAAGAAUCAAUAUUUUUUGGUUGGAUGUCUCCUAGAGAUCCUCUGAACACUUCAUUGGGGAUACAUUUUUAAUGACAAUCACCCACUGAAGUGUUUGGGGGAACUCCCGGAUCCAUUCAACGGAUUUCAACUUGAUCAAGUUGAGAUUAUGUUGGUUAAUUUUUUUGUUUUUUAGCCAUCUUACAUUUUUAAAUGUUUAAGACUUUAACUGUUGGCUUCAAGGUAUAUAGGUCGGUGCAUGCAUACAGCAUAUACAUAAUUUUAUACGUAGAAUAUGAGUUGUUUUGUUCUUGUGUAGAAUUUAAUUUGGCCGCAAUUUCUUCGAUUCUUUCUUUUGGAAAUUGUCUGUUUGAUCUUCGAUUAACAGUUAAGCAUGAACUAGUAUAAAUUAUGAACUGUUGUUUUUGAUAUGUAAUUAGUCUAUUUGUUAGUUUAAAUUUCCUUCAUUCCACGAAUAGUCUAUGUUUUAGAUUAGGAUAACCAGUUAGUCUCUUAGUAUGUAGGGAUCAAAUGUAAGAGCAUUGGCGUUCAUAACUUUAAACCUUAUUUUAGGCAUCAUCUCAAUAAUGAUGAAAAUUAGAUAAAGUCGAAAGUUACGGUCUGGGGGUAUUCCAUCAAUACGCACGCAACAAGAAAUCUCGUCAACCGUCUCCUAGGUGGGUUUCGGCUCUCAGUAUCCUUGCAGUGAUCUAUUUUGCUCAAUAGAGAUGCUUCAUCUCUAUCUGCUUUUCUCUCGAUGUUACUUCUUUUCUUUUGCUUAGCGCCGUGCUCCCUCUUUAUAGUUUUAUCAAGAUAAUGGUUUUUUUAA